CCGGGAUCCGCCAUUAUAGUCCUUUCGGUGCGAUGAACUUGUGGCAGAGGUGUUGUGCCGGUGAUGCACUGCCCCUGGGGACUGCUGUGGCUCCCGCCCCUACACGGAAGGGGGGGGCGGUCGGGUAUCCGCGUCCGGCGCUGUCGGUGCCCAGCGCCCAUCGUGUAGGGCCGUGGUCUACGCAGGCUGGUCCGCUGCGCCACUAGGGUUUUCUAAGAUGCACGCCGUGUGUUAUCUUCGAAUAAAGCGUGGUUAUUGUAGAAGCCUAGCUGGGACAGUGCUCUUUCACAGAUUAGUGCGUAAUCUGAUGACUGGAGGGCUGAAGUUGGGAACUUAACCCUCCUGGAAAAGUGCGGUUGAGAUGUCUGGGUCACCUAGAUAAUGGCUCCUGCCACCUGAAGCUGUGGGCUGUGAGGAGUGAAGAGCCAUGUCCUUUCUCCCUGGCUCCUAUGGAUUUUGCUAACAGGAGGAUGUGUCCUAUCUGGUGUUGAGCAAAUCCUAGAAACUUCACCAGCUGUCCUGCAUUAACCUUUGAGCAGCUUUCAACUUACUGGAGGAAAAAACCUGCAUAGAAAUUUUGAGACACCUAAUAUAUUAUUUAGACCGUGUUGACUUUAUUGUAAUCAAAUACUUGGUUUUACCAAGGGUUGUAAUAAAAUGCUUUAGAGCAAAGUAAAA